AUACCUUUCUCGCCCUUUUGGCUAAGAUCAAGUGUAGUAUAUGUUCUUAUCAGUUUAAUAUAUGAUAUGUGGUCCAUCGGACCACACGAUAUUAACUCUAUUUUUUUAGGGUGAAAGCCCAAUAAGAUAGCUUGCUAUCUGUGCUUUUACGAGUCUAAGCGUUGCACUACUGCAUGGGCCUGGCUAAACCCAC
rnacentral:snRNA from 2 species